CUGACUGCAAGGAUGAAGUCCCAAAGCCACUACCUGUUGGCUGUGCUCGUAGCUGCGGUCUUGGCAUCGUCCCUAGGGAAGCAUUACGAAGCUUCCGGAUACCUCCCUGCAGUUCCUGACCAUGGGAAGAAAUAUGAAUCUUCCAGAUACCUCCCU